GAUGAACGCUGGCGGCGUGCCUAAUACAUGCAAGUCGAGCGAACGGACGAGAAGCUUGCUUCUCUGAUGUUAGCGGCGGACGGGUGAGUAACACGUGGAUAACCUACCUAUAAGACUGGGAUAACUUCGGGAAACCGGAGCUAAUACCGGAUAAUAUUUUGAACCGCAUGGUUCAAAAGUGAAAGACGGUCUUGCUGUCACUUAUAGAUGGAUCCGCGCUGCAUUAGCUAGUUGGUAAGGUAACGGCUUACCAAGGCAACGAUGCAUAGCCGACCUGAGAGGGUGAUCGGCCACACUGGAACUGAGACACGGUCCAGACUCCUACGGGAGGCAGCAGUAGGGAAUCUUCCGCAAUGGGCGAAAGCCUGACGGAGCAACGCCGCGUGAGUGAUGAAGGUCUUCGGAUCGUAAAACUCUGUUAUUAGGGAAGAACAUAUGUGUAAGUAACUGUGCACAUCUUGACGGUACCUAAUCAGAAAGCCACGGCUAACUACGUGCCACGCCACCGCGGUAAUACGUAAGUGGCAAGCGUUAUCCGGAAAUUAUUGGCGUAAAGCGCGCGUAGGCGGUUUUUUAGUCUGAUGUGAAAGCCCACGGCUCAACCGUGGAGGGUCAUUGGAAACUGGAAAACUUGAGUGCAGAAGAGGAAAGUGGAAUUCCAUGUGUAGCGGUGAAAUGCGCAGAGAUAUGGAGGAACACCAGUGGCGAAGGCGACUUUCUGGUCUGUAACUGACGCUGAUGUGCGAAAGCGUGGGGAUCAAACAGGAUUAGAUACCCUGGUAGUCCACGCCGUAAACGAUGAGUGCUAAGUGUUAGGGGGUUUCCGCCCCUUAGUGCUGCAGCUAACGCAUUAAGCACUCCGCCUGGGGAGUACGACCGCAAGGUUGAAACUCAAAGGAAUUGACGGGGACCCGCACAAGCGGUGGAGCAUGUGGUUUAAUUCGAAGCAACGCGAAGAACCUUACCAAAUCUUGACAUCCUUUGACAACUCUAGAGAUAGAGCCUUCCCCUUCGGGGGACAAAGUGACAGGUGGUGCAUGGUUGUCGUCAGCUCGUGUCGUGAGAUGUUGGGUUAAGUCCCGCAACGAGCGCAACCCUUAAGCUUAGUUGCCAUCAUUAAGUUGGGCACUCUAAGUUGACUGCCGGUGACAAACCGGAGGAAGGUGGGGAUGACGUCAAAUCAUCAUGCCCCUUAUGAUUUGGGCUACACACGUGCUACAAUGGACAAUACAAAGGGCAGCGAAACCGCGAGGUCAAGCAAAUCCCAUAAAGUUGUUCUCAGUUCGGAUUGUAGUCUGCAACUCGACUACAUGAAGCUGGAAUCGCUAGUAAUCGUAGAUCAGCAUGCUACGGUGAAUACGUUCCCGGGUCU
rnacentral:rRNA from 1 species